rnacentral:lncRNA from 1 species
GGGGGGGGCCAGGAAGAUCGGGAGAGGGGGAGGUGCGCAGAGCCGCCCGCCGCUCCUCACCCGGGCCGGGAGAAGUCGCCCCCCGCACCCCCCCACGAGUCCGUCCUCUCCAUUCAAGUUCGCCGGGCCUUGCCGCCGGGAUCGGGGAUGGCCCCCAGCUGCCCGCCCAGCUCUGCGUCCUGUUUCCAGCCACCGCGCAGAAAUUUAGGUCAAGGACGUCGGGAGCAAACCCACACCCUGGAGCUCUUCGGGAGGCCCCCGAGACCCCCCCACCCCAGGAUCGGGAUGGAGGGGGGGCUUCAGGAUGGCGGAGAACCCCCAGCACAAACAUCAGCCACAAGUUUUAUUUUGCCUUCGCGCUGCAAGUUCGGCGCUCGCUCCACACCGGCACGUCCUGCGCGGCUCCCCGCCCUUCCCCGCAGAGCCCUUCUCACUCUCUGAAAUUACCGUGUAAUUUCUGUGUCCUUGCUAAUCACCUGCUACCCACUUCCGUCCACACAAGCAGGGACCUCACCUGUCGUGUUCACUGCUCGGGCCCAACACACAGUGGCUGGAAGACAUUGGCUGAAGAAGUGAUUUUAGACAGAAAGAGAAAGCAACAGUUGAGAUGAACACAAAGUGCGAAUGAAAUGUACAGAUAUGAAUGCAUUCACACACACAUAAAAUCAAGCUACAGAGAAAUUUUUUCUUUCUUUUUUUUUGCG